CAAAACCGCACUUUCCCCUUUCUCUCUCCUCCCUCAUCCCGAGGAGAGAGAGGAGAAAAGAAAAUCAAACAGCACCAUUUUCAUAUCCCAACCCUGAGAUCUCCCUCCCAUUGCCUCUCAGGUAAUCUCCCAAGUGAUCCGAUCUCAUCCUUGAUAAAG